GAUCAUGGCUCAGGACGAACGCUGGCGGCGUGCCUAAUACAUGCAAGUAGAACGCUGAAGGAGGAGCUUGCUUCUCCGGAUGAGUUGCGAACUGGUGAGUAACGCGUAGGUAACCUGCCUGGUAGCGGGGGAUAACUAUUGGAAACGAUAGCUAAUACCGCAUAAUAGUAGAUGUUGCAUGACAUUUGCUUAAAAGGUGCAAUUGCAUCACUACCAGAUGG
rnacentral:rRNA from 1 species